rnacentral:rRNA from 1 species
AUAGCGUAUAUUAAAAUUGCUGCAGUUAAAGCGUCCGUAGUUGAAUUUCGUUCAAAUUGAAUGGUGCCGAAUUUUCCUCGUGUUAAUUCGAGUACUUUUCGAUUAGAACUUGGGUGAGAUGUAUUCGUUUCGGCGAGUUCGUUUCGCUCCGUUACUUUGAGCAAAUUGGAGUGCUCCAACCAGGCUUAAGCUUGAACAGCUCAGCAUGGAAUAACAAGAUAAGACUUUAGUUCUUCUUGUUGGUGACAUGAACUAAUAGUAAUGGUUGAUAAGGACAUACGGGGGCAUUUGUACUUGCUGGAGAGAGGUGAAAUUCUAAGACCCAGCAAAGACAAACAAGUG